GGGCAGUGAGGGGGAGAAUUAGAACCAUCCUUAUAGAGAUAUUCAGGCAGAUAUACGAUUCCCUUUGGAUGUAACAGGGCUUUGUGUUCUGCCUCAAGUUCAUAACAGGGCAGUGAGGGGAGAAUUAGAACCAUCCUUGUAGAGAUAUUCAGACAGGUAUAUGAUUCCCUUUGGAUGCAACAGGGCUUUGUGCUCUGCCUCAAGUCUCUAUCAGGCCAGAAGGGGAGGAUGAUAACUGUCCUUGUAUUGACAUUAAGAUAAGGAAAUAAAUGUAAUCACCUGGUAUUGGUAUAUUAUUCAGCCUUUAAAGAAUUCUAUAGUGUGCAAAGUUACUGCUUGGUAUCAACUCUAUGGAUAUACUGUAAUGGGCAAUUACUAUAUUAGGUAAAAAGUCAAUUGCUAUUUCUAUAUUAUGUGUUUUUAAGCUAGACAUGCACACAAAAAAUAAUCUAUGGCUGCACUGUAUUGGGCAUUCACUAUAUCAGGUAAAAAGUCAAUUGCUAUUUCUAUAUUAUGUGUUGUUAAGCUGCCCUCAUGCACACA